CUCCGCUGCCGCAAGAAGCGCCUCGAGCGGAGAGCGACGGAGCGCAGAUGUCUUCCGCCCGUGGCGCAAAUUUCAAAUAAUCUCCCGGAAAGAUAGUGACUCGAAUUUCAAAAUAGAUAAAAAUUGUCAUAUUUUAUCAGCACAGGCGUAACAACGUGCAGUGUUUCCCUGUCGAGAAUAUAUAUUUCUAUUCUUGGUCAACUCUGGAGGAAAACAAAGGUCGCCCUCGACGUGCGCCGCCGACAUCUCUUCAGGGAAACGGCAAAUGCCAUCGGCCAGUGGCGAGAGAAAUUCUCAUAUCUCUUGACACAGAAAUUAAAGGUGAUGCGAAGACCGCCAGAGGAUUAAAGAGCUAUUCCUUCCUGAAAGAGUUAGAGCAUGAGAAGACAGCAAAGUCAGUGACUCGGAAAGCUGGAGUGUCCCGCCGGAGCCGCGCAGGUCAUGCAAGCCUCCCCUUCGGCCCUCCCGCCAGCCCUCGUUUCAUCCACUCCUGGGAAUCCAUUGCCGUAUGAACCCAAAACCUUCAAAGCCCAGGCUUCACCUCCAGAGCCCAGCCUGAUUGCCAUAUUUCCCUACUGGGGCUACAUCCCCAGACUCCAGCUCAAUUGCCGUGGACUUACUCUCUGCACGGCAUAUGUGGCCUCGGCAGUUUAUUACUUGUAUCAGUAGUAUUGCUUCUUGGGGUCCUGUUCUGAACAUUAACAGACUGCUUAGAGAAAAGCCGUGGUCUCCACACUCUGCGCUCUGGUGCAAGUACACCUCCAUGAGGGAAGGCAUAUUUGGCAAGAUGUUAUUUGGGGAUGGAGUGCAGCAUGAAUAUGUAAAGAUGAGGAGAGGCAGGAGGAAAGCAGUAGUAGGAGGAACAGUGUCAGCAAUAACAAGAGAAAUAGAUAAACCUGGAAGAAGAACAAGAAGUCAGUCACUGAAGGAGAACCAGGAAAUUGAGAUUCUUCCAGUAGAUUCUGAAACAUGUGACAGAAGAUCUUCAUCAAAUAUACCCCGGAAGAAUGAAGCGAGUACAGCAUUCACUAGAGAAGGAUCACAUGAUUCUGCUAUCUCCUCAAACAGCUCAAAGUGGUCUGUUUCUAGCAGUAUCUCCAUAAUGAGCUGUGGAUCAACAAGAACUUUGUCCAAGAAAAAGGCAUCAAUUUUGAAUGUUGUGGAAGAGGAGCAUAGCAUCAGAGCAAAUGGGGAAAUAGGUGAUGCUACUCUCACCUGGGUGAACAACAUAUCUCCGGAGCGAAUCAGAUCAGCAAUGCCAGUUGUUCGAACUGGAACAGUGACAAAUGGCCAUAUUGUCAGACAGUCUGUUAGUCGCUCAAUCGAUGGCUCAGAGACUGAUAGUGGUUGUGACACAAAGAUGGCAGAUGAUGUUCUCUUCAGUCAUUAUGGAUUGGAAGUAUUAAUUCAUCUUAGUACAAUUUUAAUCAUAGCAUCCUCAGUAUCUACAGAAAUGUAUCUGAGAUCAGCCCCAAAAGAAGAAAGUACAUUAACUAACAAGAACCCAUUACUGUUGCAAGUAGUGGUCUACCUUAUCAUUGGAAUUAUAUCUGACCUGAUGUCACCUACAGCAGCUCUACUUUCAACUCAUUUAACUGCUGUAGGAAUAUCCCUGCUAAACUAUUUGAAACCAAGCCAUGUCUCGAUAUCAUACCUGCCUUUUUUAAACUCAGGAUAUUUAGGAUCUCAAAUGAUAGCAGCAUCCUUCAGACAGGGUUUUGGUCUGGAGGGCAUGCUGGCAAGGGUUGGACUGGUGUAUGGUUUAGCCAGUUUUGUAUGUCCCCAAAUCAUAGCCAUUGCCACUGAGUAUCUAGGACCAAAGACCUUCAUCGAGAACUGACGUUGGAUGGCUUCAUUUCCUUGGAUUUCUAUUAAUGAAAGUUUUCCUUACCAUUCCACUGGCCCUUCUGCUUCCUCUCUUUCAAGGAAUGAUUCAAGAGGGCAGUUUUAUUGAGGGAGUCAGCUUAUCCAUGAUAGUAACAGUGGGACUCCUGUGUAUACAAGCUUUGGUGACUCCUGUGCUUUUGUUCUUCACAUCUCCAGCAACUGUCACUAUCA
rnacentral:misc_RNA from 1 species